rnacentral:rRNA from 1 species
CGGGAGCAUCCCCGUCUGAGCGUCGUUCCCAAAAAUCCCAACCCGACACGAUUAAAACCGUGGUAGGCUGGGUGAUCGGGAUUCUGCGGAAACGCUGUCUCCUGGGAACGCGGCGCACCCCUAGAUCCCCCAUCCGACGAUGAGGAUCAGGUGAAAAACUUCCUUCAAAAGCUCCUCGUGUGCAACUCACAUCGGGAGUCCCACCCCUGAACCAUCCAACUCGCGUCGACCUUGGGAUCAACUCCGGGGUGGACGGACGCCGUCCGUGGUCCGUGAGACCAGGGUCGGAGGAGUAAAAUCCUCCCCUCUCUAACCACGACCUCAGAUCUGGCAAGAUCCCCCACUGACUUCC